rnacentral:rRNA from 1 species
CCUACGGGGGGCUGCAGUGGGGAAUAUUGGACAAUGGGCGAAAGCCUGAUCCAGCCAUGCCGCUUGUGUGAAGAAGGCCUUCGGGUUGUAAAGCACUUUCAGUGGGGAAGAAAGCCUUGGGGCUAAUACCCUCGAGGAAGGACAUCACCCACAGAAGAAGCACCGGCUAACUCCGUGCCAGCAGCCGCGGUAAUACGGAGGGUGCGAGCGUUAAUCGGAAUUACUGGGCGUAAAGCGCGCGUAGGCGGUCUGAUAAGCCGGUUGUGAAAGCCCCGGGCUCAACCUGGGAACGGCAUCCGGAACUGUCAGGCUAGAGUGCAGGAGAGGAAGGUAGAAUUCCCGGUGUAGCGGUGAAAUGCGUAGAGAUCGGGAGGAAUACCAGUGGCGAAGGCGGCCUUCUGGACUGACACUGACGCUGAGGUGCGAAAGCGUGGGUAGCAAACAGGAUUAGAUACCCGAGUAGU